ensembl:snoRNA
GCAUGGCUGAAUACUGCGUUACUUUAGUCUGUAAUUUACACAGCCAGACACCACGCAGAAGUAACGCCUGCCUUAAAAACGAGAGGCAUGCUGUUUUAUGGUAUAUUGUUACUAAAAGUGAGUGCAAUC